UAGAUUAAAUGUAGGCGAUAUAUGAAAUAUAUCAUCUACAUUUAAUCAACA
rnacentral:pre_miRNA from 1 species